UAGCUACAGCGAGUGGAGUGGACUGAUUGGGCACUGAAACUCUAUAAUUGUUAUUCCGUUCUGGAGAUUUGUUUGGCGAUGUGAGAUAGGCUUUGUUUUUUGUGCAUCCCCACCCCUACCCAACACUCAUAUACCCAUCCCCACCUCCGGUGUAUAUAUAUAUAUUAUAAUAGAGAGAGAGAGAGAGAGAGGUGGCAGAGAUAAGGGCCUACUGCUCAGUCCAGCGCUUUGUGAGUUGUAUAGUCAAGUAUAUGGUUACGUAUUCACGUGAAUUGAAUGGUUUGUUGCGUGGGAAGGAAAAUAAAAAACAAAACCCA